CAUGCCUUGGAUGAGUCGCGGUGAGACAACGAUUGGAAACGACUGCUAAUACCGCAUAAUGUCUACGGACCAAAGGGGGCUUCGGCUCUCGCCUUUAGAUUGGCCCAAGUGGGAUUAGCUAGUUGGUGAGGUAAUGGCUCACCAAGGCGACGAUCCCUAGCUGGUUUGAGAGGAUGAUCAGCCACACUGGGACUGAGACACGGCCCAGACUCCUACGGGAGGCAGCAGUGGGGAAUAUUGCACAAUGGGCGCAAGCCUGAUGCAGCCAUGCCGCGUGUGUGAAGAAGGCCUUCGGGUUGUAAAGCACUUUCAGUCAGGAGGAAAGGUUAGUAGUUAAUACCUGCUAGCUGUGACGUUACUGACAGAAGAAGCACCGGCUAACUCCGUGCCAGCAGCCGCGGUAAUACGGAGGGUGCGAGCGUUAAUCGGAAUUACUGGGCGUAAAGCGUACGCAGGCGGUUUGUUAAGCGAGAUGUGAAAGCCCCGGGCUCAACCUGGGAACUGCAUUUCGAACUGGCAAACUAGAGUGUGAUAGAGGGUGGUAGAAUUUCAGGUGUAGCGGUGAAAUGCGUAGAGAUCUGAAGGAAUACCGAUGGCGAAGGCAGCCACCUGGGUCAACACUGACGCUCAUGUACGAAAGCGUGGGGAGCAAACGGGAUUAGAUACCCCGGUAGUCCACGCCGUAAACGAUGUCUACUAGAAGCUCGGAACCUCGGUUCUGUUUUUCAAAGCUAACGCAUUAAGUAGACCGCCUGGGGAGUACGGCCGCAAGGUUAAAACUCAAAUGAAUUGACGGGGGCCCGCACAAGCGGUGGAGCAUGUGGUUUAAUUCGAUGCAACGCGAAAACCUUACCUACACUUGACAUACAGAGAACUUA
rnacentral:rRNA from 1 species